rnacentral:rRNA from 1 species
GAUGAACGCUAGCGGCAGGCCUAAUACAUGCAAGUCGAACGGGAUCCAGAUCAAAGCUUGCUUUGGUUUGGUGAGAGUGGCGCACGGGUGCGUAACGCGUGAGCAACCUACCCUUGUCAGGGGGAUAGCCCGGCGAAAGUCGGAUUAAUACCGCAUGACAUCAUUGAGAGGCAUCUUUCGAUGAUCAAAGAUUUAUCGGACAAGGAUGGGCUCGCGUGACAUUAGCUAGUUGGUAAGGUAACGGCUUACCAAGGCUACGAUGUCUAGGGGCUCUGAGAGGAGAAUCCCCCACACUGGUACUGAGACACGGACCAGACUCCUACGGGAGGCAGCAGUAAGGAAUAUUGGUCAAUGGACGGAAGUCUGAACCAGCCAUGCCGCGUGCAGGAAGACGGCCCUAUGGGUUGUAAACUGCUUUUAUACGGGAACAAACGUCGGUACGUGUACCGGUCUGAGUGUACCGUAAGAAUAAGGAUCGGCUAACUCCGUG